rnacentral:misc_RNA from 1 species
AAAAAAAAAAAAAAAAAAACUCCGCCUAAAUUCAUGUCCUUCCUAAAAAUAACACUGUAGAAGUCCUAAACUUUUCCUAGUGACUUUGAGCGACUUCGAUUUUGGGUUCCACCAAGAGGCGAGGCUUUUUAGCCGGCAGUGGGCUCAUAACCUCAUCGUCACCGGAGAUAAAGAAAUCAGCGGCGAACUCCGGUAAGGCCGGGAGGUUAAGGUCAAAGCCACGGUGGCUCUGGCUGAGGCUCUGUGUGUUGGUUGACCCGACACCUUCAGAAGUUGAAGUCAUCCCGCUCUUUUCGGCCCCUCCUGCGCCGCCUUCAUAGUGACACCUCUUGUGUCCGCCCAAGGCUUGUCCAGUUGGGAAAGACUUGUGGCAGAUGGAGCACUCGUGAAGCUUACCGCUUCCGUUAGAUAUCGGGGCGUUGGCAAAGCUAGUUGUGGUACUUGAAGUUGAUUGGUCACCACGUCCUGCGAGUUUUCUGUGACUAGCCUUGUGUCCACCUAAGGCUUGGUAAGAAGAAAAGGCCUUGUUGCAGGCAGUACACUUAUAGGUAAGUUUCUCCUCUGAAUUCGUGGAAGCCUGAAGCUGAGGAGAUGGAGUUGGGGAGCUGUGGCGGUAAGAGACGGUGGAGGCAGAUGUUGAGGCGGUGGUACCGCGAGCAAGCAUAACAAGGCAGAGAGCGAGAUACUCUUCCUCGGUUGGUUGGUGCUGAGGACGCUUGGAGCGCUUGCGCUUGGCCCAUGGCUCACGAAGAUGGUGAAGACUGCCGGAAUCCUGAAAUUGGAAAGAUGGGGUUGCAGUGGUUGGAGAGUUGAGUGCUUCUAGAGCCAUUUGAAUGUUUUUGAACCUCUGUUAAUCGAUCUGAAGGUAGAAAAAGAGGGUGAAGACCUGGAGUUGUGCGCAGAGAAGAAAGGAGGAAAGAAUAG